AAUCCAGCUUUAUCAUAUACAGCUUUUUGACUAUCAAGAAUCAUAUUUAAUUUGGUUGAGCUAAGUGUAAACUUGUCUACUAAGGAUUUGUAUUUUUCAGCGUCUUCUUUUAACUUGACAUUUUCAGCAAUUAGAUUCUUGGUUUCAUUUGUGAAUCUCCUACUUAAUGUUUCAUAGUUAUUAGAUAGUUUCAGUUUAUCUUUGAUAAGAGAUUGAUUUUCAUCUUUUAGAACUUUAUUUUUAUUGAUUAGUUUUUUAUGUUCUUCC
rnacentral:lncRNA from 1 species